rfam:Gossypium hirsutum cultivar TM-1 chromosome 5, whole genome shotgun sequence
CUCAAGGAAGCGCUUUGUCCAUGUGGACAGAAAACGAGUCCUUGAGGACGCGCUUUGUGUCCAUGUGGACAAAGCGCUUCCUUGAGG